ensembl:lncRNA
GAUUUUUCUUCUUGUCCAUCAGUGUUCCCGCCCCACCGCGCCUAGAACCAGGCCGAGUCCAUAGUAGGCAGAGGAUUUUUGCUAAACUGAGAACGUGCCACUAGUUCUAACAAGAGAAUCCAGGGUGGCCACCUGUCUGCUCUAAUCAUCACCCUCACCGCCUGCAGAGUCCCCAGAGGGAUAUUACUAAAUACAAGCUGAAUCCUUUCACUCCUCCACCCCUCACCCCCACCCACAGACUGUAGGAAAUUCGUCCACCUUUUGCAGCCCAUCCUUGGCCCUCCCUCAGUGUCGCUUCCCAUUCCCUAAUUACUCGCAUUCAUUCACUCAACAGGUCCUUUAGAAGUGAGGGUGGGGAAGAGGUAGGAUUUAUAGAGUAAUUGCCAUAGUUCCUUUUUGAGACCUCCAUCAUACCUGUGCACACGAGAUUAUCCUGGCUGCUCGGAAAAUUCCUUUUCUGACUUUAAGAGCUACUUCAAAAAUCACCUCCUCUGUGAAGACUUCUCUUCCUAUUAUUAUCGGGAGUCCUCUUCCAGCGCUGCUAUGGAAAUUCAUAUAUAUGCCUAUGACAACACUUAUUAGCCUUGUGAGUGCUCUGUGCUUUGUCUCCAGUGAACGGUAUAGAGCCUAGCCGCGGUAACAGGAAGCCUAUAUUCUUCCGAGGUCCAAUUUAGCCAGAGCUGGCAUGACGUAAACGUCGUUUCCAACUGGCACAGGGGACUGGGAUCCAUUUUCGAGAAUGUUGUUACAAACUCGAAAUAAAAAUGGAGGACAGCAAUAAAAACCAAGUCCCCUGCCGUGCCACUGCUCUCGCAAUGCCGUGACUCGGAUUCGAACCGAGGUUGCUGCGGCCACAACGCAGAGUACUAACCACUAUACGAUCACGGCGAGCUACUGGGGACUUGGCCUUCGGUUUCCUCGCCUGAGUUCUUCUCUAUUGAAAGCCCCGCCCCCUUGUUACGUCACGGUCUGUACCUGCUGAUCUCCAACAUAGCCUCUCGCUGUGAGAACACCGACGCCCUCGUUUCCCUGCUUUUUUGAUUUCUGUCCACACUCGCCCGGGGGUCAGACCCCACUGCUUCACCAGUUUGAAGGCUGCGCUCCAGGUUUCCGUCCCCCCACCCCUACCCGCACCUCGAAGGAAGUUGUGCGGCAUUUUCUCCAGAGGUGGCUACAUGACUUCAGCAGUGCAUUAACACUGGCAGACCCAACGUUAGAGCCCAAGAAGGGGUUAACCACAUAGAAAGAUUUCAGGAGUGCCAAGAUGAUCCUGAUGUUCAAAGGUAUCUAGCUCCUUUCCUUACAGCAUGAUUUCUUCUGUCUUCAUUAUUUUAAAUUUUUUUUCCUUUUUUUUUUUAAAUUGAAGCUUAGUUGAUACACAGGGCUAGUUUCAGGUGUACAACAUAGUGAUUUGACCGCUGUAUGUGUUAUGCUAUGUUCACCAUAAGUGUACCUCCAACCUGUCACCAUACAGCACUAUUACAAUAUCAUUGACUAUAUUCUUUAAUCUGUACCCUUCAUCCCUGUGACUUAUUCAUUCCACAACUGGAAGACUGUACCUUCCACUCCCCUUCACCCAUUUUACCCAUCCCUCUCU